rnacentral:misc_RNA from 1 species
ACCCACGACUAUGGCGUCAAGAUGAAGAACGUCUUCAAGUUCCUCGAGAACGGCGACAAGGUAAAAGUCACCCUGCGCUUCCGUGGCCGUGAAAUGGCACACCAGAACCUCGGCCGCGAGCUUCUGGAACGCGUCGCAGAAGACGUGAAAGAAAUCGGCAAGAUCGAAAACAUGCCGAAAAUGGAAGGCCGCCAGAUGGUCAUGAUGAUCGGCCCGGCGCCGACCAAGUAACGCCUCUGGACCUCUGCCCCUUCUUUGGGGACGGAUUGCAAAACCCUCCCUCGCGGGAGGGUUUUUUCGUUGCUGGUCCACUCUUUUGGCGAUCGCAAAGGGUCACA